rnacentral:rRNA from 1 species
UACGGGGGGGGCAAGCGUUGUUCGGAAUUACUGGGCGUAAAGGGCGCGUAGGCGGUCUUGUAAGUCUCGUGUGAAAUCCCUCGGCUUAACUGAGGAACUGCACGGGAUACUGCAUGACUUGAGAUCGGGAGAGGGAAGCGGAAUUCCGGGUGUAGCGGUGAAAUGCGUAGAUAUCCGGAGGAACACCGGUGGCGAAGGCGGCUUCCUGGACCGACACUGACGCUGAGGCGCGAAAGCUAGGGGAGCAAACGGG